rnacentral:tRNA from 1 species
GGGCCCGUGGCUCAGUCAGGUCAGAGAAAGAUUCGACAAAAGCGGCUGGCUCUUAACCAGCAUGUCGUGGGUUCAAAUCCCACCGGGCCCG